CUGAGCCUCAGCCCCUCCUGGAGUUUCAUGGCCCUCGCUUCUGGUGAGCGCUCUCUCUGCUGGCCUCUUCCCAUAUGCAUUUAAACAUGCUCAAGUAUCUGCCAGCUUGGUAAGUAGGAGACCCUGAUUCUCUCUCAUGUAUUGCCCUGUUUAUGUUCAUGGUCUUCCGGAGUCAUCUGCACUCACUGGCUCCUCUUCCUUGUCUCCAUUCAAUCCAACAUUCAUUCCAAACUGUAUAGUUUACUGAGUGCCAGGUACUGACCUAGGAUCUGGGGGAUAUAAUAAUGAGUAAUAUGGACACUGUCUCUGUUCUUCUGAAGGACAAAGUGCAAUUUGUGUUGUGAAUGAAAAGUUCAAGAUGCUGUGAGAGGACCUGACAGAGUUGUAACCUGGUUAGGAAGCGGGGGGAAAGGAGACUUCCCUCCUUCAGAUCAUAGCCUCAAGCUAACUCCCUGGGUAGAGUGCCAUGGCAUCACAGCUCAAUCACUAACUCCUGGGCUCAAGCGAUUCUCCUGCCUCCACCUCCCAAGUAGCUGGGACUACAGAGACAAGAGUCUCACUUUACUGCCCUUGGUAGAGUGCCAUGAUGUCACAGGACUCACAGCAACCUCCAGCUCUUGGACUUCCGCGAUUCUCCUGCCUCAGCCUCCCAAGCAGCUGGGACUACAGGCGCCUGCCACAACGCCCGGCUAUUUUUUGGUUGCAGUUCGGCGAGGCUGGGUUUGAACCCGCCACCCUCGGUAUAUGGGGCUGGCGCCCUACUCACUGAGCCACAGGGGCCACCCCAUGUUCUGAUUCUUAAAAGUCUCUCCUUUCAGUUUAGGGUUGCCACACUCUUGAUUUUUCUUCAACCCCUUUUUUGGGUUCCUUUUCCACUUGUCACUUAACUGUCGUUGGUGGGGAUGUUUUGUCUAGGCCUUUUCUUCUGCUGUGCAUUCCUCCUGAGCCAUCUUAUCCACUGUGCGGCCAGAGUGGCCUCUUAAAUAAAUCAGUCUGACAGAUCAUUCCUCUGCUGAAAAGCCUUCAGUGGCUCCC